rnacentral:lncRNA from 1 species
CGGCCUAGACCAUAGUCUCCAUGGCCUCCCUUUGUGGUUGUGCCAUGGUGAAGUUCAUUAUUUGGUAGAAGGUUGUCAUUGUAUGUAUUCAGAGGUGAUGAUCUAAUACAUCUAUUAUAUGAGCAAUAUUCUUCAUGUUAUCCAAUCUAUUAGCAACUCAAUGCCUCCUUUUUAUACUUUCUGGAAUCAUGGAUGUGCUUAUUCCUAUGUAGUUCUAAAUUAGACUUUAGCAUGCUUUAUGUAACUUGGAUGAUUAGAUCAAGUAUAUUCACCCUUGAUGAUGACUACACAUGGGCUCUUUGUGAAGGACCAAAACAUGCGACCAAAGGGGGGUGAAUGGGAGCCGAUUCAAAUUUUUUCAAAGAACUUCAGCUAUAGUCCCAACCUAAUCCACGAACCUUUCUUCUAGCAACUAUCAAGAUCGCGUGCUCACAGGGGACCUACUGACCUUAGGAACAAUACUAGGAAGGCUCAGAAGCAACAUGGAACCAAACACAAAAAUUUAUGCAAAAUCAAGCUCAAAACACCUUCCAGGUAUCGGAACUUCCGACCUUGUAUCAAAACUUCCAAGAGUAGGAUCGGAACUUCAUGAUUUUGGUCAAAACACAAGAAAGGAGUGGUUUUCGGGGAAAAAACAAAUUAAGCCAAAUCCAGGGAGGAUUUGAGGGGGGAUAACUUCAAAGAUGUUCACAAGGAACCCAGCAACAUAGUCCCCAACAAACCUCAAAGGAUUUGGACUCAAACGCGAAGAAUGAAAAUCCCACGAAAAAUGCUCCGAAAAUACCAAAAAAGAAAAACGCUCGGGAAUCAAAGAUUUGGCACAAAUCAAGAUAUCUAUUAAGGCCAAAUCACAAGGAAAUCAUCUUUACCAGAUGAGGACUAGCCUCCUCCCUUCAUCCACCCACUAAAGAUGAAGAAAUCAAGAGAAAAUGAGCAAAUCACCCUCUAAUCUCCCUCUCUCCUCUCUCACUAAGCACUUGGCUAGCCUCUAAGCAAAUGAUUUAGGGUUUUCUAGAUAGGCGCUGAAAUGAACAGCCAUCCACCCAUAUUUAUAGUCCAAGACGGAUGACAAAACUACCCCUACAACUACAACUAGGAUAAUUACCCACGCAGAGGCAUUUUGGUCCAAGUUUUUCUACGCUCAUCGGACGGACACGCCACCUUCACGACUUUGCUUUGCCUCGACGCAAUAUUCGCGAUGAUGCCACGUGCCUUCCUUCUUGAAGGUCCGGCCGCAUCGGGCUCACCCCUGAUUUUGAGGCCCAAACCGUCAAACCUGC